CCGGCCGGGCGGGCUUCACCGCGUGGGCGCGGCAGUCGCCACUCACCGAGGUUGACGACCUUGAGCGCCGUGAAGAAGCGGUUCUGCCGGGCCAGGUCCUGCCAGGGAGCCUUGGAGCAGUGUAACUCGGGCAGGGGAGGGAUUCGGGGAGGUCUCAUCAAUUUGGGCCUGAGGAAAAUUCAGGUGGAAGACAAUUAAAUAACUAACCACCUCCGCAAGGUGCAGAACUCAAACCCAAGUCUCCCUCCCACGCCCUGGGCUCCAGGGAAGCCCUUGGGUGUUGUUGUUGAAACAGGACGAGGCGUGACCCCGGGUCUGCGUUGUUUGGCGUGGGUUCUCACUAUGUUGCUUAAGCUGGUCCAGAACUCAAGCCAGUCUCUCACUUCAGCCUCUUGAGUCGUUGGGAUUACAGAAGCCACCAUGUC
rnacentral:lncRNA from 1 species